GGUGUCUUUCAGUGUUUGUGUCAGUGUCUGUGUGUGUGUGUUGCCCCCUAAUAAUUCGGAGUUAAAAGAGGAAGUUCCGGCUUACCCAGUUGGUCACGUGGCCAAAAGUUUUGGGCCAUGUAUUGCGGGUGGUCUUACCAUUGGCAUUGUGCGUGACACUGUCCAGAAACAACAUCACAACAACACCACAACAACAACUUUGGAAUAUCACUUCGAAGAGCAAAACUCAAUUUGUUGGCCAGCUGCUGCCGAGGCAGAGAGAAAUGAAAAAAAUCGAAAUGUGCUUCCACCAUGAGGAUUUCUAGUUGGAGCUGAGCUGGUGGAGCGGAGAGGGAAGUGAAGCAUAAACUGGCAGCCAGACGGGCCAAAACUGCAGCGGCAACUGGCGAAAUCUGCAAACCAAAUCCAACUUAAGUCACAUCAAAUUAAAAUCAACAAGCGGCGAACAAAAAAUAGAGACGGGAAAAUCCAACUGCAGCUUUUGGCCAAAAAGAAAUUACAAAAAAAAAA